AACGAACGCUGGCGGCAGGCUUAACACAUGCAAGUCGAGCGCCCCGCAAGGGGAGCGGCAGACGGGUGAGUAACGCGUGGGAAUUUACCUCUCGGCUCGGAAUAACGCAGAGAAAUUUGCGCUAAUACCGGAUACGGCCCGAGGGCGAAAGAUUUAUGGCCGAGAGAUGAGCCCGCGUCGGAUUAGCUAGUUGGUGUGGUAACGGCGCACCAAGGCGACGACCCGUAGCUGGUCUGAGAGGAUGAUCAGCCACAUUGGGACUGAGACACGGCCCAAACUCCUACGGGAGGCAGCAGUGGGGAAUAUUGGACAAUGGGCGCAAGCCUGAUCCAGCCAUGCCGCGUGAGUGAUGAAGGCCUUAUGGUUGUAAAGCUCUUUCACUCGGGACGAUAAUGACGGUACCGAGAGAGGAAGCCCCGGCUAACUUCGUGCCAGCCGCCGCGGUAA
rnacentral:rRNA from 1 species